UUAGCGGAUGACUUGUGGCUGGGGGUGAAAGGCCAAUCAAACCGGGAGAUAGCUGGUUCUCCCCGAAAGCUAUUUAGGUAGCGCCUCGUGAAUUCAUCUUCGGGGGUAGAGCACUGUUUCGGCUAGGGGGUCAUCCCGACUUACCAACCCGAUGCAAACUACGAAUACCGAAGAAUGUUAUCACGGGAGACACACGGCGGGUGCUAACGUCCGUCGUGAAGAGGGAAACAACCCAGACCGCCAGCUAAGGUCCCAAAGUCAUGGUUAAGUGGGAAACGAUGUGGGAAGGCACAGACAGCCAGGAUGUUGGCUUAGAAGCAGCCAUCAUUUAAAGAAAGCGUAAUAGCUCACUGGUCGAGUCGGCCUGCGCGGAAGAUGUAACGGGGCUAAACCAUGCACCGAAGCUGCGGCAGCGACACUCAGGUGUUGUUGGGUAGGGGAGCGUUCUGUAAGCCGUUGAAGGUGGCCUGUGAGGGUUGCUGGAGGUAUCAGAAGUGCGAAUGCUGACAUAAGUAACGAUAAAGCGGGUGAAAAGCCCGCUCGCCGGAAGACCAAGGGUUCCUGUCCAACGUUAAUCGGGGCAGGGUGAGUCGACCCCUAAGGCGAGGCCGAAAGGCGUAGUCGAUGGGAAACAGGUUAAUAUUCCUGUACUCGGUGUUACUGCGAAGGGGGGACGGAGAAGGCUAUGUUAGCCGGGCGACGGUUGUCCCGGUUUAAGCAUGUAGGCGGAGAGUUUAGGUAAAUCCGGACUCUUAUUCAACGCUGAGGUGUGAUGACGAGGCACUACGGUGCUGAAGUAACAAAUGCCCUGCUUCCAGGAAAAGCCUCUAAGCAUCAGGUAACAUCAAAUCGUACCCCAAACCGACACAGGUGGUCAGGUAGAGAAUACCAAGGCGCUUGAGAGAACUCGGGUGAAGGAACUAGGCAAAAUGGUGCCGUAACUUCGGGAGAAGGCACGCUGAUGGUAGGUGAAGUGACUUGCUCACGGAGCUGAAAUCAGUCGAAGAUACCAGCUGGCUGCAACUGUUUAUUAAAAACACAGCACUGUGCAAACACGAAAGUGGACGUAUACGGUGUGACGCCUGCCCGGUGCCGGAAGGUUAAUUGAUGGGGUUAUCCGCAAGGAGAAGCUCUUGAUCGAAGCCCCGGUAAACGGCGGCC
rnacentral:rRNA from 1 species